GCCUCCUAAAAGGUAACGGAGGCGCUCAAAGGUUCCCUCAGAAUGGUUGGAAAUCAUUCAUAGAGUGUAAAGGCAUAAGGGAGCUUGACUGCGAGACCUACAAGUCGAGCAGGGUCGAAAGACGGACUUAGUGAUCCGGUGGUUCCGCAUGGAAGGGCCAUCGCUCAACGGAUAAAAGCUACCCCGGGGAUAACAGGCUUAUCUCCCCCAAGAGUUCACAUCGACGGGGAGGUUUGGCACCUCGAUGUCGGCUCAUCGCAUCCUGGGGCUGUAGUCGGUCCCAAGGGUUGGGCUGUUCGCCCAUUAAAGCGGUACGCGAGCUGGGUUCAGAACGUCGUGAGACAGUUCGGUCCCUAUCCGUCGUGGGCGUAGGAAAUUUGAGAGGAGCUGUCCUUAGUACGAGAGGACCGGGAUGGACAUACCUCUGGUGUACCAGUUGUCGUGCCAACGGCAUAGCUGGGUAGCUAUGUGUGGACGGGAUAAGUGCUGAAAGCAUCUAAGCAUGAAGCCCCCCUCAAGAUGAGAUUUCCCAACUUCGGUUAUAAGAUCCCUCAAAGAUGAUGAGGUUAAUAGGUUCGAGGUGGAAGCAUGGUGACAUGUGGAGCUGACGAAUACUAA
rnacentral:rRNA from 1 species